rnacentral:rRNA from 1 species
CGGGUGAGUAACACGUGGGUAACCUGCCUGUAAGACUGGGAUAACUCCGGGAAACCGGGGCUAAUACCGGAUGCUUGAUUGAACCGCAUGGUUCAAUCAUAAAAGGUGGCUUUCAGCUACCACUUGCAGAUGGACCCGCGGCGCAUUAGCUAGUUGGUGAGGUAACGGCUCACCAAGGCGACGAUGCGUAGCCGACCUGAGAGGGUGAUCGGCCACACUGGGACUGAGACACGGCCCAGACUCCUACGGGAGGCAGCAGUAGGGAAUCUUCCGCAAUGGACGAAAGUCUGACGGAGCAACGCCGCGUGAGUGAUGAAGGUUUUCGGAUCGUAAAACUCUGUUGUUAGGGAAGAACAAGUACCGUUCGAAUAGGGCGGUACCUUGACGGUACCUAACCAGAAAGCCACGGCUAACUACGUGCCAGCAGCCGCGGUAAUACGUAGGUGGCAAGCGUUGUCCGGAAUUAUUGGGCGUAAAGCGCGCGCAGGCGGUUUCUUAAGUCUGAUGUGAAAGCCCCCGGCUCAACCGGGGAGGGUCAUUGGAAACUGGGGAACUUGAGUGCAGAAGAGGAGAGUGGAAUUCCACGUGUAGCGGUGAAAUGCGUAGAGAUGUGGAGGAACACCAGUGGCGAAGGCGACUCUCUGGUCUGUAACUGACGCUGAGGCGCGAAAGCGUGGGGAGCGAACAGGAUUAGAUACCCUGGUAGUCCACGCCGUAAACGAUGAGUGCUAAGUGUUAGAGGG